AAGACGAGCUAAUGCCAAAGGAUGGGAGACACUGCUCUGAGAAACAUUGAUUUCUCUAAGCUAAGCAAACAAGAGGCCAGGUUACUCAAAAGGGUCUUGGAAAAGCAGAGAUACUUCGAGGAACUGACAGACCGGAGAAAGACGUAUCUAAAACUUGAGAUAAAGCAACUGGAGGAGCGACUAGCAAACGCCGCAAGGUACGCCAGGGACCCUCUGCUUUGCAGGAUCAGCCACAGAACCAAGGUCUCGACAACCGUAAUGCGACAUAGCCAGAAAUGUCAGCGGCAGGUACACCCUCGAUCGCAGGAGUUCUAGCAAUCCCUGAAAUGCAGUAUUUCUAGGAACAAAGGGGUUUCAUGCCCUGGAAACCGAGUAAGAAAUCAAAACCACUGCAUCUACGACAUUUACCCAAGUUCCCAAUCCAUUCCCAUGAUAUUUUUUCCAUGGGAUUUUCUUAGAUAAAUUUACAUCACUUUAUAAGUCAAGAAGUUUUACAGUCAAGAAAACUAGAACAAAGAAAGGCGUUAGAAAAAAGCCUUGGUUAACAAAAGGACUUUUCAAAUCAAUUAGGAAAAAAAUGUGUUAUAUAAGCGAUAUCUCUGUAUGCCAACGCCUUCGCGUGAGCGUCAUUACAAGAGUUUUAGGAACAAGCUUAAUCAUUUUUUAAGAAUUGCAACGUGAUUACUAUAAAAGAAAGCUCAAUGAUUAUAAAUCCAAUGUGAAAUAUUCCUGGCGAAUCUUAAAUGAAGUAAUUAAUAAUCGCAAAAGUAAAACAAAUUCGUUGCCUUCCACUUUCAAGGUAGCUGAUUCUGAAAUCAGCGAUCCACUUAAAAUUGCAAAUUGAUUUUUGUGUCUAUUUUACAAGCCUGGGCCCUACUCUUUCAGCUAAAAUCCCUUCUUCGACUAAGUCAUUCGCUAGUUUCUUACAAAAUGAGGUAGUGAAUUCUGUAUUUUUUGAGAGCACUAAUGACCAAGAAGUUAUUAAAAUUUGUGAAAGCCUGCGUCCAGGCACUGCUGCUGGAUAUGACAAUAUCCAUAUGGACGUCUUAAAAAAUUUUAUUGACAUAAUUUCGAAGCCAAUAGCUAAUAUUAUCAAUUUGUCCAUUUCAUCGGGCGUUGUCCCUAAAGAGCUAAAAAUACCUCGUGUUAUACCUAUUUUUAAAUCUGGUGAUCAGGCUCUCUAUGUUAACUAUAGGCCUGUGUCGAUCUUGGCAAUUUUCUCAAAAUUUCUAGAGAAAAUUAUGUAUGAUUGUCUAUAUAAAUUCUUAAUCAAAUAUAAUUUAUUGUUCGAUAAUCAAUAUGGCUUUAGAAAACACCACUCAACCGCCCUUGCACAUAUUCAUCUGCCAUAGAUAAUAAGGAAUUAUACGAUGGGCGUGUUUAUUGAUCUUUCUAAGGCGUUUGACACGGUCAAUCAUGAAAUAUUAUUAACCAAACUACAAUAUUAUAGCGUGCGUGGAACUUCAUUGAAAUGGUUUGAGAGCUAUCUCUCAGAAAGGAUGCAGUUCGUUAUCUUUAAUGGCCAUUGUUCCUCUCGUUAGCUGGUCAAGUGUGGUGUACCACAGAGCUCCGUUCUUGGCCCUCUACUUUUUUUAAUAUAUAUUAAUGAUCUUUGUACAGUUUCGAGCGCCUUAGAUAUAUUACUAUUUGCUGAUUACACUAGCAUAUUUUUCUCUCAUAGUAAUCUUGCUGCUUUAUCAGAAAUAGUUAAUAACGAGUUGGAGAAAAUGGCAGACUGGUUUUCAGCUAACAAAUUAUCUAUUAAUAUAAAAAAAUCGAAUUAUAUGAUAUUUAGACCACGGCAAAAAAGGCAAACAUCUGAAGUUGAUGUAUGUAUUGGCCAUCAUUAUCUUUCGCAGGUUGAAGAAACAGUUUUUCUAGGUGUCGUUUUAGACGAACAUUUGACGUGGAUUCCACAUAUUUCUAAUGUUACUAGGAAAGUCUCCAAAGCAGUGGGCAUCAUGUACAAAGCAAGUUUUUGCCUUCCUAAGCGUUCUCUCAUGACUCUCUACUAUUCUCUAAUAUAUCCGUACUUACAAUAUUGUAUCUGUGUUUGGGGUUCAACAUACCCUUCAAAUCUCAAUCGUCUUUUUUUGCUCCAGAAAGGAGCUGUACGCAUUAUUUUAAAUAAGCCAUAUGAUGCUAGAUCUAAAAAUUUUGAAAUUUCACUGCAUUUAUUUAUUUCAUAUUGGUAAGCUAAUGUUUCAAUUUAAGACUAAAAUACUUCCUCGAUACUUUGACAAUAUAUUUUUUUUCAAUUCUCUAAUUCAUAAUUACAAUACAAGACGUGCUAAGCUAUUUCACAUUGCUAAAUGCAGAACAAACAUACGCAAAUUUGCACUUAGAUAUCAAGGGCCUGCAUUAUAUAAUUCCCUAGACACUGAUACUCAGUCUGCAACUACUUUAGUUUUUUUUUUGACUAGCCCUAAAAGUGUUCUUCUCAACUAGUAUAUUGAAUUUUUUCCCUUUGACUUUUUGUAUGUGUGUAUGUGUUGUUGUUUUUUUAUAUAAAAUCAUAGUUCAGGUAUAUUAGUAUGUAAUCUCCUUUAUUUAUAUUUAGCCAUGACUUAAUAUUAUGUAUUUUUUCUUAUAAAUGGGGAGGACUGUCUCGUAUAAGCCUUGUGGUUUUUAUGGCUCUCCUCGCCAUGUAUUCGUCUAAUUAAUUAUAUAUUUAAUGUACUUUAAAAAAAAAAUGAAAAAAAAAACUUGAGAAGGCAUCUGCUCUGGAAUCAGACAAUGAAUACCUGCACGUCAAGUCGUCUAACUGAUGGAUUCAGUGGUCAGAUCUAGAGGUACUUCAUGUCGUUCUGGGCUGCACUUUGCCUAACUGGCAAAGGGAUGGCACUACCUUCUGUGCAAAAAGAAGGUAGAGUUCCUGACCAUAACUGGGACGUGGUGCGAGUCUCAAGGGCUUAUUGCACCAGCUUAGCUCUUCCUCGAGAAACUGGGUGAUUUAAAGACGUACCCAGAUCUUCCAAACGAACCUCAGCAAGCAGAACCAGAGGAAGGAAGGAGGGAAGAAGGAGGAAUGGAAGGAGAAGGAAGGGAAGAUGGAGGGAUGGAGGAAGGAGGGAGGAAAGAAGAAGCCAUAAAUGAUAAUGAACGAGAAAAUGAUGAAGAUGAAGCACUUAUGUACCGACUAGAAGUCUUCCAGAGCGACAAAUAUUCGCUAUCAGGAACUUUAGAAAUUUGUCAGCGGUAGAGGAAGAAGAGGACAGGUCUGAAAAUUUGGACAAUAAUUGUGGGCAGGAGUAUCUGAACCUUCCCGUGCAGGAAAAUACUUUUCCACGCCUAGACAGCGGUGUUAGUAACGGGAGUAUUACAUCAGGUUUUUCAGGAAAUGGAUCUUCUAUAGACUUGAAUAACCACUAAAGCGAGAUGAGCUCGGAUUCAUCAACGGUAGCUUAUGCCGAAGGAGCUGAUGCAAGUUGCGAGAGACAGUCGCAAAGGCAGAGGAAGUCAACCAGUCUACAUAUGGAGCGAGGAAGACCACUUAUCGAACGCGUAACGCUGGCCAACCCGAAUCAGGGACCAUACAUAGAAGGUAUAAGAAUAACUAUGUCGACCAGCCCAACCUAAUGAAAUGGUUCAUACUCCUUUUUUGGAAUUACAGUUCUUUUAUAUUGAAAAAAAAAACUUUGUGGAUGAGAAUAAGACGCACUCUUCUAAUAAUCAGUCCAUAGUAAACCAGUCAAAGGCAUUUUAUAUCUCCUUUUUCUGUAUUUUGUGUCUUACAUUGGAUUAUUAAAGAAUGCAUGAAAAACUAUGAAAUAGAAAGGGAUCUGAAAGAAUGUAUUGUGCUGUAAUGAAGGGGGGGGACUUCGGGACUUCUUCGUUUUUUCAGUCAUAUGAGAAGCCCAUUGAAGAGAGAAGCGAUUAUGGUAAGCCACUAUCUUUCGUCAUUUUACCAUUAUUAUACUAUUAUUAACAUAUUAUUAUCACUAUAUAACCAUACUGUCGCCAAAAGCCAUCGUUUGUGCAAUCAUAUUUAUAUCAUUUAGUAAUUUCCGCAGCCAUCCCAACGCCACCACAACCAAAAAAUGUCACUACUCACUAUUAGGCUUGUCGUCAUCU